ensembl:lncRNA
UAAUGAACUUGUCCUAUCCUGGUACAUUAUAUACACGUCAGUGAGUGUGGGUGUAGGUGUGUGUUCUGUUUUACCCCAGGAGGACCGCCUGUGUGCUACAUAGUGAUGAAGGACACUUGGUUAUCUCUACCUGGCACCCUUAUCACGUGUGACACCUUUCAACAACCCUCCGUCCCCACCUUUCUGUCCAAUGCGCUCUGAAAAUGGGGGCCAGAGAUAAGGAGCGUGUGUUUGCAUGUCUACGAGUUUGUGUGCACGCAUGGCACAGUGAGUGGGAGACAAGAAAGCAAAUUUGUACAAGUCACAACGGCGCCGGGAGGAAUGUGCAUUCUGUUGUGGUGUAAUUAUGGCCAUAACUACAAGAAGAAGCCCCACAUUAUGAUAAUGGUGGUAUUGCUGUUUCUGAACACUCCCUCCAUCGCUGUAAUGAAGGGUACGAGAUGGAUAAAAGAGCAGGAAGUGGCUAGCUAUCAGGAGUGUGGAUGGACAGAGUUCUGAGCAGAGAGCCAGGCCUUUUGGCCGGUCUCCAGCGGGGACGGUGGGUGUCCCUUUGCCAGCUGGCAGCCUGUCUCUCCCAUCUGUGGAGCCUAAGAGAGUGUGCAGUAAUCUCCCGGAGACAGCGCGCCUCGACCCGGGCCCGAUUUAAAGGGAUACGGCCAGCUGGCCGGGCACGAGCAGGCCUGUACCAGGGAGAGGAGAAGGAAGGGCAGGAGAAGGCCACAGAGAAGGGAGGGGGAUGAGCGGGUGAGCCGCGAUGAAGCAGGUCGGGUGUGAUGGCGAGCGUGAUGCGGGGACCGAGGAUCGGUGGUCAGGGAGCAAUAAAGAGCACUGAUAAGAAUGAUUCAAGUCCGGCUGCCAGCAAAUAAUGGAACAGGCAGAAUGUCAUUUUGCUGCUUAAAUCUACUGUACGGGUACACUGAGGGGCUCGGGGCGCACUGUGCCGCACGCCACGCCACAAGGUGGGAUAAGAAGCAAACAAACAUACAGGCUGCGCUCAGCAACCCCGAUCAGAGUGUCUGCCAGGGUCCUGAUAAGCUGUCAGGCAGGAGAGGACCGUGAGAGGUGGAAGGAGUGGGUGGCGGUUGUGGGUAUGUAUGCCUGUUGACAUUGAAGGACGCGCUCCCUCUCUGAGCGCUAAUGGUCACGAACUUGUCCCACAAUAAUUAUUUUGUUACUUAUCCAUAUUGUCAUCCAUAUUUUUGACGGUUCUACACUACACUGACACCCAAACCUCUUGAAUCAAGACAAACUUUAAUGAGCAUGCAGGUGACACAAUGAGUGGUUCCUCUGUGAGCCUGGAUUUAGCCUCAAUGACGUACUUCAUGCAUGUGUACACACAAUAGCCCCAGAGUGAUGAGCAUCAUGUAGUUUGCCCUCCCGUAUUAUUAUUCUUUUUUUAAUGUUUUGUGGGGAUAAAUCCACAAAUUCUCACCACGUUUUGCACUCUCCACAACCCAAAAAUGUACUUUCAUCUCACCGUAGAACUAUCUUAACACCUGCCUGUCUUUUGAUGGAUGGUCAAUCCAGCUGUCUGCUGAUGAGUACACAUCUGUCCGCCUGUCCAUCUGCCAGCUUUUGGAGCCAAUGUGUGGGGUGGCAUGAGCAACAUUGCUGCCCUGUGAGAAAUAAAGCAUUAAAUACCAACUGAACAGUAUGUUUAUUUGGAGAGGAAACGCUGCCAGCACAAACAACGCAAAGACACAGCUUGCCUCUGCCAUAAGACGACAACUGCUCACUCCAAAGUUGUUUUGUGUGUUUGUGUCUACACUGGGAAGCCUGUAAUCAUAGAUGACCUAGCUUUUGUUCAGUGUGUGUGAACCCCGCUGCUUCACUGUGAGGACAUGGCUUCUGGAGGGCUGCCUGCAGUCUCCAGGGUUAAGCUAGCUGUGGUUGAUCAGUAAAUUACAUUCAGACUGUAAGCAGGCUGCUUGAUAAACCCAGUGGUGGGUCGUCAGGGUCAGCUUAGCCUUCUCUGCUGCCCUAAACAGAAUCACAAAUUUAAACUAUUUCAUCAUUUAAGUUGCAUUACAUGUAUUAUUCCUAUUAUCUGGUUUUCUCAUUGCACGGCUCUUGUCUUCGGCUGUUGCUCUGCUUCCAGCGCAAAAAGAGCUUUUUCAGAUUCAGCCCCCCUGUCUCUAUGUGAAGUAUAUAUUUUUCAACCUAUCCGGUCUUUAGUUUGACCUGUUGGGGGUUUUCUUUGACGUGCCAGUUGCACCUCUGUAGGCUCAUUAGUACUUUGUCUGUAAAUAGGGACCAUGCUUUUGUGUUAUUUGUCCGUAUUGUUUUUAUUAUAUAUUGAAUAUCCCUCUGAUCUAAAUAAUAUUUGAAUGGAACCGUGCUGUUGAGUUUUUUAGUGCUGUAGUUUUGAUGGAUUGUUUUUUCAUGCUUUGUUGCAAAUAAAUGUCACUGGUUCUUGUGAGAUUUCACUUGUCAUCGAGUUAAUUACAUUGAUUUGACUACACGCAUUCAUGUAUCUGCAUUUAGUGUAUUUGUAGGAGUUGAGCUUUAUGUAACAUUUUAUUUCACGUUAAAUAUUGCAGUGUUUUGUGAUUAAGAACCAGAACCUCUAACUGUGGCGUCAUGAUGAG